rnacentral:lncRNA from 1 species
AUGAUAUAACGAUUUGGGCAUAGAUGUUCCUCCUUUCUUUUGUAUUUAAAAAAUCGUUUUAUAACAAAAUAAAACAAUGUCUUCUGUCUCUUUUUUCCUCAAAGUCAUAUCCUCCAAUGUAUUAUUUGAUAAAGUCUACCUCUGUUUUAGCUUGCAUACUCAUCUGCAUAACUUAUGCAUUGUUGUUUAACGCAUCUAAAUCUAAUUGUUAUCUUGAAACAGUGAAUCGACACUCUUCUGUUAGGGUCUUAUGACGAGUUUUCAUGCUAAUGGUGUAUAUGGAUGCUAAUUGAACUCUCCUGACAAGAAGCAUUAUUCUAGUGGUUCUUGCCAAAUAUUAUCUAUUUGAUGAAGGCAAACCAAUGACCUCAGGAACAUGCUUUAGCUUUGAAAAUGCUUUCUUCAUCCAUUUAAAGGGCAUCAUUCUUCUUUCCACUGAUGCCCAAAAAAUCAAAUUAAAGAAAGUUACCCUCCUGAUCACAUAGACAAGUGUAUGUUGGAAACUUAACAGUAGAAACAACAACAUACUAAGCCUUGUUCUCAAUAUUAGCUUAUUUAAUGUACAAGAGGAUUGAUUUACUCGGUCUGUGUUGCGGCAAACAAAUGACCUCAGCAAGAUGUUUUACCUCUGACAAUGUUCCUUUGAACGUGCUAUAUCCUCUUUCCAUGAACACCGGUAAAAAGCAAUACACAGAAAGUUACCCUCCUGAUCAUGCAUGUUGGAAAGUUAAAAACAGCAACAAAAAACUAGAUGUUGUUCUCAAUAAAUUUGGGGUUUGUUACAUGAAUCCUUCACUACAUCUGCAAGUUGGAAACUUGUCUGCAUUCAACAAGUGGAUUAUGCAAUAGUUUUAACAGCCAAAGCUGAUCAACUAGAAGAGAGAGGAGUGCACAAGUUAAGUCUUAAUUUAUUUUUUAAUUAGUUUAUAAUUCCAACACCCUGUGCCUGUGUGAGGUUGAAAAUACAUGCAUAGUGGUCUAAUGCUAAGGCUGAAGAUGGAAGCUCGAGAUGGAGCUGUAUUAGUCGGAUGUCUCGCAUACAUUUCUCUGGCAAGUGAGUGGCUACCUACUGGAGCUUCAACCAACCAUCACGGGUCAAUUCUGCUUUGGGGCAGCUCUUUUCGUUUUGGAUGUGUGAAGCAUAUGAAAAAGCUGUACAACAGGGAGGUGGGGGAUUACAUAUUAGCUUUCCUCCAGACUUACGAGGGAGACUAA